rnacentral:rRNA from 1 species
CGGGUAGCCGGCCUGAGAGGGCGACCGGCCACACUGGGACUGAGACACGGCCCAGACUCCUACGGGAGGCAGCAGUGGGGAAUAUUGCACAAUGGGCGAAAGCCUGAUGCAGCGACGCCGCGUGAGGGAUGACGGCUUUCGGGUUGUAAACCUCUUUUAUCCACCACGAAGGCGGUGUAUUCGCACCGUUGACGGUAGUGGUUGAAUAAGCGCCGGCUAACUACGUGCCAGGGCCCGCGGCCGA